UACGGGGGGGGCAAGCGUUGUUCGGAAUUACUGGGCGUAAAGGGCUCGUAGGCGGCCAACUAAGUCGGACGUGAAAUCCCUCGGCUUAACCGGGGAACUGCGUCCGAUACUGGAUGGCUUGAGUUUGGGAGAGGGAUGCGGAAUUCCAGGUGUAGCGGUGAAAUGCGUAGAUAUCUGGAGGAACACCGGUGGCGAAGGCGAGUCCCUGGACGAUACCUGACACUGAGGCACGAAGCCAAGGGAGACAACAGG
rnacentral:rRNA from 1 species